AUUGCAAUAUUGGUAAUCAUUGUGGUGAAGAGGCACUUGCAUAGGGAAGUUUAAUUGCUGAGAGCCAAGGUCCCACCUGUGCCUUCACCUCCAACUCAAACUUGAGCAGCAGCACCUACAGCCUCCUUUGUUUUUAGAUUUUCUACCUUUACUACUUUAAUUUUGAUCCACUGCAUUGCUUGUACGCUUUCUUUUCCUGAUUUUCAGUAGAUCCUAUUACAAAGGAUUAUAAACCAAGUUAGUCAUGAAUACACGCACAUGUAUGUAUAUUGAUGACGAAACAUUACACUGGAACAUAAGGUAUCUGCAAUUGACUGAAUGUGACAAGGGAUUUCAAUAUCCUAUCCCUUAGAAGUUUUCUAAUAUCAAGUGCAAUCCAAGCAGAAUACCUCGGAGGCUGAACCUGUCCAGUUUACUUGUUGACAGUGAGGAGUGGGAAUUCGGGCUUUUUAACAACGAAAAGAGAGAAGGUUGAGCCAAUCAUCAUCAGUAUCAUGACUUGGCGAGCAAGUUUCUCUAACAUCAUCAUCCUCUGCUAAUUAAGCAGGUAUUUUUACAGACAUUGUUGUCAUCACGUAUCUUCCCAUACAUAUCGCAUGUUGUUGCUCUGUAUGUUUAUCUACCCCGACACACACGUUUGUUCUUAUUCUAAUUUCCCUCUCCAUUUCUUGGGAUAAAAUGCUAUGACGAGUUUUGUUUUCUAGCCUAUAUAUGAAAACUCGACUUCCUAAAAUUCACAAAUUAGGAUUAGAAAGUCAUCAAGAGGCCAUAGUUACAAGAAUCCUAAUUACAUCUUUUAUGCAGUUAGAGAUAAUGUGAAACCUCUAGCUGUAUAUAUAAGAAUGAGACCAUGUGAAUCCAUAAAAGUGACAAACAUUGAUGCAGCAGUAUAUUCAUGAAAUAAAGGAUGAAACCAAAAAGUGAAGAGUGAAUAAUUCUGGUGAAUUUUUUACACGCGCCCCGCGCACAAACAUGAAUCAGCUAUGUAUUAUGGGUUUCGUUGUGGCAGUAGCAAGAAAAGAUGUAACAGAAUCCUCCAGCUGCAUCCUCUCUUCCUCUGUACAGAUCACUACACUUGCCUGUGUUGAAUCGCGGCCCUCUGAAUGUCCGCUAGGCUUCCCACACAAAGCUUCCACCCUUUCUACUCCUGCAAUAUAAUAUAAUAUGCAUCUCAUCAUGAAGGAAAUCAAAGAAAAAGAAUAUGCCCAAGGUAGUGAGAUUAUGAUGAAAAAGAAGAGAGAUAACUAACCAGUGGCUGAGAAAAGGAGAAUGGUAGCCAUGCAGGACAAAACAGGUCAGGUAGGUAGCUUCCUAAUGGAACUGCUCAUUUUUUUUUUGGCUAUAAACUCUAGUUAUAUAUCUUUGGUUGGAGUCAAGAAGCUAUGUUACGCGCGCGCGCACAACCGAAGUACAAUGGAUGGUUCGUGGACUUGAGCAUGCGGAUUCGGAUUUUCGGAAUGCAGGUCUUCUUGUCUUGUUUGGUGUUGAAUAUAAUUAAUUACGGUUUGAUUGAUUACUUGAUUCGGGUGGAUGCCGUCGGGCAACAUCGUCGUUAUAUAGUAAUUACAAUGUUUUAGAUUAGUUUCGCUCCUGCUUUCACACGCCUCGUUCUUCUUACUUGCGACUCGGUAUGCAUACAACAAUAA